rnacentral:rRNA from 1 species
AGUGAACGCUGGCGGUAGGCCUAACACAUGCAAGUCGAACGGCAGCACAGGAGAGCUUGCUCUCUAGGUGGCGAGUGGCGGACGGGUGAGGAAUACAUCGGAAUCUGCCCAGUCGUGGGGGAUAACGUAGGGAAACUUACGCUAAUACCGCAUACGACCUUCGGGUGAAAGAGGGGGAUCGCAAGACCUCUCGCGAUUGGAUGAGCCGAUGUCGGAUUAGCUAGUUAGCGGGGUAAUGGCCCACCAAGGCGACGAUCCGUAGCUGGUCUGAGAGGAUGAUCAGCCCAACGGGAACGGAAACCCGGCCCGGGCCCCUACGGGGGGCCGAGGUGGGGAAUAUUGGAAAAAGGGGGAAAGCCUGAACCAGCCAAACCGGGGGGGUGAAGAAGGCCUUCGGGUUGUAAAGCCCUUUUGUGGGGAAAAAAAUCUUUCGGGUUAAAACCCGGGGGGGAGAACGGAACCCAAAAAAAAGGCACCGGCAAAUUUCGG